rnacentral:lncRNA from 1 species
GGUCGCGUUCACCAGAAUAAUCCGAGUGCAAUCCGAUUAAUUUGCGCUGAAACGCUGACAGUUUUUUUUACUAGUGAACGACUGACGUUUGACAUUCGAUUGAGAGUGUUCUGUGUUCCAUUUGUUUAUGUUUUUACUUUGUUUAUAUAAUUUAUAACCUAGACAGUUUUGUUUUUAAAUAAAACUGAAACUGUGUCUAAACUAAAAUGGAUAAUAUUCUUGAAGAAUUUUUGUUUGGGGACGAAAUUAGCAAAUGCCGUUAUACAUUUAGCAGAUGUACCUACCUCAAAUUAUUCCAGAAGGAUGAGAUGAAAUUAAAUAUAUAUAAACCAUAAUUCAAUAUCCAAUUUAGAGAACAUUUUCGUAUGUCCAGAACUACUUUCCAGGAACUAUUUAAUUGUAUUGGUCAUAUCCACCAAUUUGAAAACAGAAUAAUUCUAUUGGAAAAAAAUUAAUGUUUAUGAUUUGGAUGCUAAGUAAACCAGAGAAUUUGUUGCUGGGGAUACGUUUGGUUUGCCAAAGAGCCCUGGACAUAAGAUUUUCACCCAAAUAAUAUAGAAUUACAAAAAAUUGGAAAUAACUAAUCUUGAAUAUCAAUGUGUAUAUUGAGUUUAAUUUUAUUGUAAAUAUUGUAUUAACACAUUUGUGGACACAUCUUCAUAUGCAGACAGUAUUUUCCGUUUGUAAGUACAUGCAUAUAUAGUCGUAUCUGCAAAUGGGUUAAUUGUAAAUCGUAAUCAAUAAAAAAAUUUUGUGAAUCAAUAAAAAACUGGUUUGUUUGAAAAUAAAUGUAGUACAAAUGUG